AUACACAAUCCCAAAAAAAAAAAAUAAAAAGAAUUUCUUAAAUCAAGUGAAUCAAUUGCAUAAACCAACAAUACCAAUCAUUUCAGAAAUCAAUAACUAUACAUCGAAAUCGAUAGAUCGAACUCAAAAUUAAUUAUAAAAAUUUAAACAAAAUUGAAAGAUCUGCCUGCUAUGAGCUGGAAAUUAAGAGAGAGAUUACCACUUUUGAAGAAGUAUGUGACGU
rnacentral:misc_RNA from 1 species